AUAACCGUUAUUUAUUAUUACAGUUAACAACGCAAUAGUUAUAAGAUAAAGAUAACUGGCGCGAGACAUUUUAAAAAUCCGUUAUCUAUUGAUAUUUGUUUGUUAUUUA
rnacentral:sRNA from 1 species